rnacentral:sRNA from 1 species
GAAAAUUAACAUCUUGUUAAUCUAUUCGUGUGGUGAAUCCCCCUGUGCGGUGGGGCGACCAGUCACUUACAGUGAUCUGUAAAUGCAGCGCGGGCCAUGUCGGCUGGGACAUGCUCACCGGGAGGCACCCGGCACCAUGCAAUACUACUAAGACAUUAGGUUGUGGGUUGCCGUUUCGGCUUCUCCAGC